rnacentral:rRNA from 1 species
AGAUUGAACGCUGGCGGCAUGCCUAACACAUGCAAGUCGAACGGGAGUAGCAAUACUCUAGUGGCGGACGGGUGAGGAAUACGUAGGAAUUUGCCCUUAAGUGGGGGAUAACCCGGGGAAACCCGGAUUAAUACCGCAUGACCUCGAAAGAGCAAAGUGGGGGAUCGCAAGACCUCACGCUUUUUGGAGAAGCCUACGUCGGAUUAGCUAGUUGGUGAGGUAAUGGCUCACCAAGGCGACGAUCCGUAACUGGUCUGAGAGGAUGAUCAGUCACACCGGAACUGAGACACGGUCCGGACUCCUACGGGAGGCAGCAGUGGGGAAUAUUGGACAAUGGGCGCAAGCCUGAAUCCAGCAAUGCCGCGUGUGUGAAGAAGGCCUUCGGGUUAGUAAGGUACAACUUUAAGGUUAGGGAAAGAAAAAACGUACGACUACUUAACAACGAGUUAG